GCAAGAGUGACCAAUUUGCUGCUUCACAAACCAAGACAGAGAAUAAAAUCAUAACUGCAGUAUAAUGUGAGUUACAUCCUACUGAAUGCAUGUCAGGAAAACAGCUGAUGACAUUUUUUGGGAGAUAAAGGAUAGUUUGGAAUUAAGGAUUUGCAAAAUCUGCCACAAUUCCUGGUAUGAUUUUUUUUGAUGCUCUAAUUAAUAUUAUUAAAAAAUGCACAAAUUACCACUAUAUAUUUUUACUUUUCUCAUCUAGAUAUUUAAUAGAGAUUUUUGGUGUUAGGUUAAUACUUUGAUAUCAAACAAGUGUGAGUUUAUACUUCAGGACUCUGGAUGCAAUCCCUUUCCAUUUGUAAGUUCCCAGAAAUACUUGGAACCUCUCAAGUUUUGUUUCUAACACGCAGGAAUGGUCUUGGCAUGCAAGAAGACUGUCUCAGAAUCUGCUGUUUUGAAUAAGCAGCAAUACAUACUGAAGUUGCAGAAGAACAUCUAAGAAGUGGUUGUUCCUUUGCAGUUGUCCCGUACUGGGACUUAUUCUGAAAUCUUUACUCACACAUUUAAGUGGGUCCCAGAAGGUCCCACUGAGCAUGCAUCCAUGCCUGUGCUGAUGUUAGGCCUGUGGGUGGUAAUAUGCAAGAGAGGGUUCUGCGCACUGCAGGUGGUGAGAAUGACAGCCAGCCAUCACUACAUUUGUACAAGGUAAGCAUGCUAAUUUCUCCUUUACAGAGGAAAGCUGACCCAAACUAACAGUCUGAGCAAGUGGAACUCCUGUCUUUCCGUGGGAUCUAUGCAGUUGUUACAGUAGUUGGGAACUUGGCAACCAUUUGUAUUCAGGUCACCUUCCAUGUCUUCUUUAACGUACUGCUGUGUGACAAAAUGGUUUAUAUCUUAAUUCGUUACAUUUAUUUUUUACUGUAAAACAAAUGAUAAUGAGUAGCUCUUUAAACUAAUGUUUCAUUUCCAGAGAGUCAAAGUUUUGGCAUAAGUUUAAUGGAAAAAACAUUAAUCUUCACAAUCAAAAAAGAGAGUUGUUGACUAAAUAUGACCUGACAAAAUUCUUUUUCAAAACUCUUCACAGAUCUUUCUCGUCAAAUUUUAAGCAAUGCAUUUCUUGUUGCUGACUGCUGAGGGCUAACAAUUAUGUUUUCCAUUAAGCUUCAGAUACUGAGUUGUUUGAGAGAUUUAUGUUUAGAAGAAAGGUAUAUUUUAGUAUCUACUAAGAUGCUCGUAUAUGUAUAAAGAACUGUCAUGUGCAAUAGGAACAAACAUUUUUUAGUUAUAUUUAACCUUUGGUUAUCUAAUAAUGAUGUGAGCUGUAGUUCAGAGGAGGAAGAAAUGUUUGUUCCCAGCUGUGUAAUACAGACAAGCCUUCAGGGCUGUUGUGAAGCUCUUUGAAUUAUUUUUUUUCUCCUCUUUCCUGCUGGGAAAUGUACAGAAAUUGAUACAAGACCGUGCUAUCAUUCAUGUGGCAGCAGACUAGGAAUGACUGCUAGAAUAUCCGGGACAUGCUUUAUGUUUAGCGCUGACAAUCUAAGCAAGACAAAUAUGAUUUAUGGGACAAUAGUUCAGAUGGGGAAUGAAUGGAGAUGUCGUGGUGAAAAUAUCAGCAUAAGUAGGUUAUGUGAAGGAAGUAGGUUUUAAGGAGGGAUCUAAAGGAGAUUUGGCACGCGGCAGAUGGGAAGUUAUUCGAAGUAGAAGCAAAAUGGAAAAAGAAGUGAAGUUGAGAGUGGGAGAAAAAUAUGAAAGAAACAGUAGGACAAGCGGGACUUUAGAACGCUCUGCCAUUCCUUUCCAUGCAUAGCUAACCAAAAACAUUGUCAUAGCCUGAAAGCGUCGAAUUCUGGCUUAUCCCCACAGACAGUAAUUAUUAAUGUUAACAAACUCUUUCAACCUAGUUACUCUUCCUGAAUAAAUCACGAGUUUACAGUCUGAAAAACUCAGAAGUCGUUAUUUUUACUACUUUAGCAGUUUUAUGCGAGAGGCCGCCCUUGUUCUGAGGUGUUUAUUGCCUGACCGGACAGAGAAUGGGCAAAGGGAAAUAUCAACAGGUUCCUACUGAGGAACAAGAAAGAGACCUGCCAAGAUCAAGUCAUUUGCCCCUGGAUGUGGGGAAAGCCAAAACCAAGCUGAAACUGAGUGUCAGUAUGUGAAUCUCCAGUGUUUCUGUCAAAUGAUGAUUACAGGACCAGUAAAAGAUCCCCCAUACUCAUUCCUAUUUUGAAUAAUGGACUCUAUGUGCUCACACUGUCCAUUUUGUGAGAGUCCUAAAUCACAUUUGGAGGCUAAAUGUUUACUUGCAGACAGCUUCCGUGCCAGCUCUGAAAUAAACAAUGUUUUCCCCCAAAACUUUACAAGUUACUUCAGUAACUUUCUUUCCUUAGCUUAAAUAUCAUGCAUAGCUUUGCUUGUUCCUUCAUUACUGAUAUUGUUCCUAGUCCUUUUUCCCUGCCGUGCUUUGCUGAGGACACAAGCUUUGUGAAGUUAUUUUUUGCUGUUUCUCCAGUUAAUAUUGCAGGCUCUGCUGUGCUAAUCAGAAGCAGGAUAAACCCUUCCUUCAACCAACCUCUGUUUUCCAGCCCCUCUCCUUCUCUUGGUUUGCCUUCUCCAGCUUACCAACCAGUGCUCAUCUUCUGCCAAGAGGCACGUCUGGGAUGUCAGCGCUGCUUUAUGAUCUGGUUUCAUCAAGCCAUCUUUGUUGCAGAUUGAUGUACCGUGUACUAAAGUGCAUCUUGAAACACCCCUGGUUUGGAACGUGCUCAUUUCUAUAGUUUAACGGCAGCAACAGUGAUUCCUGCUCACAGACAGAAGGUGGAUGUUCUCAGCAGUGUUCUGAAGGAGCCUACAGGCCUGCCUGUUUGGGAAGGUGCUUUCCAGACAGCAGGAUGCCUGCAGUAACACAGGAAGUGCUGCAGCUGUAUUCAUCUGGAAGAACAUCAAAGUAACUCCUGACAGUGAACUUGGGUUGGAGAUCUCUCUCCAAGUUUCUUGAAAACAGCUGCAAACAUUGGACAGGACAGCACCAUGAAGUCGCCAAGGCUGUAUUUUGGAGUGUGCACAUAGAGGGGCUUUUGAUGAAGCAGGCUUUUGUUACUCAGAUUGCUGGUGAGUUUGUUUGCUUCUGGAACACGCUGUCUGUGCAGUUGGCUGGGGCAGCCUGCAAGCACUUCUGUAAGCUUCUAUCUGAAACCUUAGGUAGGGUCCCAAGCUUUGUUAAUGUUACCCAAGUGCUCCCCCUUGUGCUAGAAACUGAGGGCUCUGUUCUUACACCUUAACGUUGACGGGCUUUGUCUAGAAAUAUAUUCUUUUGCACUUCUUUUGAAGCUUUUAUCGAGGAUUCGUGCCGUAUAGAGAAGCUGUUCACUUUAAGCCUUGUCGCCUUCAGUAAUUUCACAUGGAGGGAAUCAUGACCAUCAAGUUUUUGAUGACUGUGUUAUGUCUUUACAUGCUUUAAUAGGAUAAAUGCGUAUUACACUGAAACCCAUGCUCUCAAUCCUUAAGUGGCUUUAUGAAAACAAACAGUUUUUAAUUUAGAACAGCAGCAUUUUAUCUGUAUAAACAGCCUGAAAACAUAAACAUUUACCAACAUAAGUUUUUAUGAGGUUUGGUUGUGUUGCUGCAGUUCUGUCAACAAUGCAUAUAUUUUUGUUGGUAGGAUGAUGUUCACAAAAUUAGUAAUUUAUGAUUAAAAGCAAUAACGUUUGCUGCUGGUUUUGUUGUUGUUCAGCAAUAAUGUUUUUGGGGAACACCUAAAUUCCCGAAGUCAGAUGAUUUUACAGGAAGUACAGAUAAGGAGAGAUAUAAACCUAAAUAACAAAGCUUGCAAUGCCACGGAAGAAAGGAAAAUGGUUCUGGAAAUGUAGUUUUUAAGAUUAUAUGUUUUAUCAAAUAAUAAUUAGU